rnacentral:rRNA from 1 species
UAGGGAAUCUUCCGCAAUGGGCGAAAGCCUGACGGAGCAACGCCGCGUGAGUGAUGAAGGUCUUCGGAUCGUAAAACUCUGUUAUUAGGGAAGAACAACUGUGUAAGUAACUAUGCACGUCUUGACGGUACCUAAUCAGAAAGCCACGGCUAACUACGUGUCAGCAGCCGCGGUAAUACGUAGGUGGCAAGCGUUAUCCGGAAUUAUUGGGCGUAAAGCGCGCGUAGGCGGUUUUUUAAGUCUGAUGUGAAAGCCCACGGCUCAACCGCUGAGGGUCAGUGGAUGCUGGAAAACUUGAGUACAGAAGAGGAAAGUGGAAGUACAUGUGUAGCGGUGAAAUGCGCAGUAAUAUUGCGGAACACCAGUGGCGAAGGCGACUUUCUGGUCUGUAACUGACGAUGAUGUGCGAAAGCGUGGGGAUCAAACAGG